CCUACGGGUCGCACCAGUCGGGAAUUUUGCGCAAUGGACGAAAGUCUGACGCAGCAACGCCGCGUGAGGGAUGACGGCCUUCGGGUUGUAAACCUCUUUUGUCAGGGACGAUGAUGACGGUACCUGACGAAUAAGCCACGGCUAACUACGUGCCAGCAGCCGCGGUAAUACGUAGGUGGCAAGCGUUGUCCGGAUUUACUGGGCGUAAAGAGCGCGCAGGCGGUCGUUCAAGUCGCCUGUGAAAGCCCCCGGCUCAACUGGGGAGGGUCACGCGAUACUGAUCGACUCGAAGGCAGGAGAGGGUAGUGGAAUUCCCGGUGUAGUGGUGAAAUGCGUAGAUAUCGGGAGGAACACCAGUGGCGAAGGCGACUACCUGGCCUGUUCUUGAUGCUGAGGCGCGAAAGCGUGGGGAGCAAACAGGAUUAGAUACCCCCGUAGUC
rnacentral:rRNA from 1 species